UACGUAGGGUGCAAGCGUUAAUCGGAAUUACUGGGCGUAAAGCGUGCGCAGGCGGUUUUGUAAGUCUGUCGUGAAAUCCCCGGGCUCAACCUGGGAAUUGCGAUGGAGACUGCAAGGCUAGAAUCUGGCAGAGGGGGGUAGAAUUCCACGUGUAGCAGUGAAAUGCGUAGAGAUGUGGAGGAACACCGAUGGCGAAGGCAGCCCCCUGGGUCAAGAUUGACGCUCAUGCACGAAAGCU
rnacentral:rRNA from 1 species